AUUGAACGCUGGCGGCAGGCCUAACACAUGCAAGUCGAGCGAGCGGCGGACGGGGGAGUAAUGUGCGGGGAACUGCCCGAUGGAGGGGGAUAUAUACUGGAAAAGGUAGCUAAUACAGCAUACGAUCGGAGGUACCCCGAUGGGAUUAGCUAGUAGGUGGGGUAAUGGCUCACCUAGGCGACGAUCCCUAGCUGGUCUGAGAGGAUGAUCAGCCACACUGGAACUGAGACACGGUCCAGACUCCUACGGGAGGCAGCAGUGGGGAAUAUUGCACAAUGGGGGCAACCCUGAUGCAGCCAUGCCGCGUGUAUGAAGAAGGCCUUCGGGUUGUAAAGUACUUUCAGCGGGGAGGCGUUACCCGCAGAAGAAGCACCGGCUAACUCCGUGCCAGCAGCCGCGGUAAUAC
rnacentral:rRNA from 1 species